rnacentral:rRNA from 1 species
UACGUAGGGACCAAGCGUUGUUCGGAAUUACUGGGCGUAAAGGGCUUGUAGGUGGCCAACUAAGUCAGACGUGAAAUCCCUCGGCUUAACCGGGGAACUGCGUCUGAUACUGGAUGGCUAGAGUGUGGGAGAGGGAUGCGGAAUUCCAGGUGUAGCGGUGAAAUGCGUAGAUAUCUGGAGGAACACCGGUGGCGAAGGCGGCAUCCUGGACCACGACUGACACUGAAAAGCGAAAGCCAGGGGAGCAAACGGG